GCCUGAAUAGUUCAGUUGGUUGAGCAUCAGACUUCGGCUCAGCUCAUGAACUUGUGGUUUGUGGGUUCGAGCCCCGCAUCGGGCU
rnacentral:tRNA from 1 species